rnacentral:rRNA from 1 species
UGGGGAAUAUUGGACAAUGGGCGGAAGCCUGAUCCAGCAACGCCGCGUGAGGGAUGACGGCCUUCGGGUUGUAAACCUCUUUCAGUACCGACGAAGCGAAAGUGACGGUAGGUACAGAAGAAGGACCGGCCAACUACGUGCCAGCAGCCGCGGUAAUACGUAGGGUCCGAGCGUUGUCCGGAAUUAUUGGGCGUAAAGGGCUCGUAGGCGGCUUGUCGCGUCGGGAGUGAAAACAGCGGGCUUAACUCGUUGCUUGCUUUCGAUACGGGCAGACUAGAGGUAUGCAGGGGGAGAAUGGAAUUCCUGGUGUAGCGGGUGAAAUGCAGCGAUAUCAGGAGGAACACCGGUGGCGAAGGCGGUUCUCUGGGCAUUACCUGACGCUGAGGAGCGAAAGUGUGGGGAGCGAACAGGAUUAGAUACCCUGGUAGUCCACACCGUAAACGUUGGGCGCUAGGUGUGGGGUCCUUUCCACGGAUUCCGUGCCGUAGCUAACGCAUUAAGCGCCCCGCCUGGGGAGUACGGCCGCAAGGCUAAAACUCAAUGAAUUGACGGGGUCAUAGCUGUUUCC